AAAAUCUAUCCCACUAACCCUCAUGUAUCGUAGCCAAAACCACCGACUUCGUCUCUCAUCUUCCUCAGGCGUGCGGUGGUGACGAUUGCGCUUCAUCUCAUGUCUGUAACGGACUGCGUUAUGAAUCCGUCUUUAAUCCCCUUGAUUUAUUCUCACACGAUGUGUCUUUGAUGCGCUGAUUAGAUGUGAGGGGCUGUGUAUAAAUAGAUAUCCUGCGAAAAUGAGCAACAAGAAGAAGGACUUGAUUUUACCGCAGUCAUCAGCUAUACGCAAGUCUGGAAGCAUACAACUUGCGGAAGGUCGACAAGGUGAGAUGCCAAUGCCAUUGGAGAGUAAGCAACAGUGAGUAAAAUUCUUCUGCAGUAUAGAAAGUGGCUUAUUUGUGAAGAAGCGUCGGGUCUUUCUGUUUCUGAAGAUGUAGAAUCGUUGUCCGGUUGAUAUGAUAUAUCAAGUUUCGUCGGGUGGUUUGCUAAAAAAAAUUGGCUAUUUGGUUUAUGUGGUUUGUGUCUGAUUUUUUUUUUUUGGGAACACAUGUCUGAUUUUUCAUUUGUAACGUGGUUUGCUAAACUGGUUUGUACUAAGAGUAUAGUAUUUGUCGUUUUGUUCACAAUUCAUAUUGCCAGUUUCCUGCCAUA